GAUGUUGCUUGGUCAAACCCUCCCAUUGGGUGGGUCAGCUCCACUCAAACUACACAGAAUGGCUGAGUGUGGGGACAAGGACAAUGAAUAUAGAGCUUGAAGGAGAGAAAUGGACCCUGGGGAAAGAAGAAAAUCGGUGCCCACUUCCUGCCCACUUCCCAGGAGGAAAGCACAUAACCCAGCAGACAGUGAGAUGAGUCAGGAUGACUCCUUUACCACUGCUCCAAAAGAGAAACUACAAAGCAGCAGGUUUCACUAUGACGCUGAGAAUCCUUCUUUCAAGCUGUCAGCCAUCAGAAGUCGAUCCUGCCAUCAGCUGAAGCAGAUGCCGUAUCCAGGGGAUCAGAAGGUGUUGAUUGGCCAACGCGGAGUCAUGUCCUUGUCCUUGCCCUGUCUACAUUAAAGGUGGGGGUCAGCCCCACCCGCACUGCAUAGCUCUCCUGGCCCAUAGAUACCAGUAUCCCAAUUCUCAACAGAGGCCUGAGCUCAGCCAAGGGACCAGCACCUCACAGCUCCUGCUGAUCUCCAGGUAGCCGAGGAGAAGAGGGGUGCAGCAAGCAAGCUCAUCCUUGAGGUGACUUGGUUUUAGGUAUCUGUGAGUUAUCCAUUGUCCACAGAGCCUCCCCGACCUUCACUGAGCACAGUGAAGGUCCUCCACGUGGUGUUCAAUUGGCUACAUCUGUUUUUUCCUGCGUCUCUCAGGAGGAGGGGUUUCAGGAGCCCCAGAAGUGACAUUCUCCAUUCAAGCCAGGUCCAGCUAAGCAAGUACCUGCCAUGCCUGGACCAAGAGCCUCAGCCCAUGGACUUGGGUUCCUGGGACAUGAGAUGAGACCAAGGCCCUCUUUCUGGCUUCGGGAAGCCUACUCCAGACCUUUGGGAGCCACCUAGCCUCUCUGAGGCCUCUAGAGCCCGAGCACUGCUAGAUUGGGGUCCUAGUACCUGCUACGUUCUAGAUGCUUCAGAAGAGGCCCAGGCAGGUACUACAGGCCCAUAGGAGCUGCCAGGUGUGCCCGGGUCUCUCCCCAUAUCCCUGGCCCUGCCCAUUCUCAUCUCUAGAUAUGCCCCUGGUAUGGCUGUGCAGAGCUUUGGAUUUCCGCCUGGGGACAGGAAGCAGAUAUAAGAUGAGGCCCAAGCAGUGGGGAGUCUCAGAAUCAAGGGCUGGAUCUCAGACAGACAUGGCGCCUGCAUGAGAGAUAUAUGGACUGGGGUCUCCCAGCCUGGCUAAGCCCACAGGCAUCAGGGGACAGUAGAGAGGUGACCAGGACUUCCUUAGCCACCAGAAAGUGAUUCAGCUAAAUUGAGGAAGGCUUCCGUUUCGGCAGAAUACAUUUUCCACUAUGGUAAGAGCUUUUCACCCACGGGCUGUAGAAGAGCAAAGCCCUCCAGAGAGAGGUUUGGAGAGUUUCGGUUUGAAUAGUCAGUGCUGAUUCUUAAUCAUUAGUUUGAAGAGGCAGUUCUUGGUUUUCCAGCAGGUGGCUGGGGCUCGGGGCAGUCAAGUUAGGUGUGCCUGUGAAUGCGUGUCUACACACCAUGUGAGCUUUUGUGACUUGACCUUGGAGGCCAGGAAGGGAGGCAGUCAUGAUCAUUCCUUUGGUCAGUGGUGAGGCCUGUACAGGUCUGCGGAACAACCUGGGCUCUCUACCCUCACCACCCUGCCACGAGAGCCAGCAGCUACACCGAGAGUUCGGUGUGUGCCAGGAGGCAGGCUGGGUGCUUACUCACAGCCUUGGGAACCUACCUAUCAGUUGAGGUUCUGAGGGAGGAAAAUACCAGUCAACACUCAGCCCAAUGUGCACCCAGGCAGCCUAAUAGCAUCAAAGUCCUCCCAACAGCCACCCUACCUUCAGAUUCUCCUGUGCCUGCCGUCCCUGGCAUCUCUGGCACCACCCAGGGUGCACUACAUUGAAGCCAG